AUCUUUGCGCUUGGGGCAAUGACGCAGCUAGUGAGGUAAUACCGAGGCGCGUCAAUUGCUGGUUGAAAACUAUUUCCAAACCCCCUCUUUGGCACUCCCUCUGUGGAGAGGGCCACUGAGAAUUUCUGAAAGGGCUCCUUCUCCUUCGGGCGAGGGUAAAGCC
rfam:Triticum aestivum genome assembly, contig: Triticum_aestivum_CS42_TGACv1_scaffold_113987_2AS